AACGAACGCUGGCGGCAGGCUUAACACAUGCAAGUCGAGCGCCCCGCCAGGGGAGCGGCAGACGGGUGAGUAGCGCGUGGGAACGUACCUUUUGGUUCGGAACAACUCCGGGAAACUGGAGCUAAUACCGGAUAAGCCCUAACGGGGAAAGAUUUAUCGCCGAAAGAUCGGCCCGCGUCUGAUUAGCUAGUUGGUGAGGUAACGGCUCACCAAGGCGACGAUCAGUAGCUGGUCUGAGAGGAUGAUCAGCCACACUGGGACUGAGACACGGCCCAGACUCCUACGGGAAGCAGCAGUGGGGAAUAUUGGACAAUGGGCGCAAGCCUGAUCCAGCCAUGCCGCGUGAGUGAUGAAGGCCUUAGGGUUGUAAAGCUCUUUUGUCCGGGAAGAUAAUGACUGUACCGGAAGAAUAAGCCCCGGCUAACUUCGUG
rnacentral:rRNA from 1 species